rnacentral:rRNA from 1 species
CACGGGGGGGAGCAAGCGUUGUUCGGAAUCACUGGGCGUAAAGGGCGUGUAGGCGGUCAAGUAAGUGGAAUGUGAAAGCCCCCGGCUUACCCGGGGAUCUGCAUCCCAAACUGCUUGGCUUGAGUACGGGAGAGGAUAGGGGAAUUCCUGGUGUAGCGGUGAAAUGCGUAGAUAUCAGGAGGAACACCGGUGGCGAAGGCGCCUACUCUGGCC